rnacentral:rRNA from 1 species
CCUACGGGUGGCAGCAGUGGGGAAUAUUGCACAAUGGGGGAAACCCUGAUGCAGCGACGCCGCGUGAGUGAAGAAGUAUUUCGGUAUGUAAAGCUCUAUCAGCAGGGAAGAAAAUGACGGCACCUGACUCAGAAGCCCCGGCUCACUACGUGCCAGCAGCCGCGGUAAUACGUAGGGGGCAAGCGUGAUCCGGAUUUACUGGGCGUAAUGGGAGCGUAGGCGGCAAGGUAAGCCAGAAGUGAAAGCCCGCGGCUGAACUGCGGGACUGCUUUUGGAACUAUCUAGCUAGAUUGAAGGAGAGGUAAGUGGAAUUCGUAGUGUAGCGGUGAAAUGCGUAGAUAUUAGGAGGAACUCCAGUGGCGAAGGCAGCUUACUGGACUGUAAAUGACGCUGAGGCUCGAAAGCGUGGGGAGCGAACAGGAUUAGAUACCCGAGUAGUC